UCUCCCCAACAGGAGACAACAUCUGAUUUUUCUGUCAGUGCCUGCAAUUUAUUAGGCUUACAAGGAUUUGUGGAAGAAAAGUUAAAUGAGAAUCAGAAUUACUGGUUUCAAAUAUCUGCAGAGCUUUCACAUGAAAAAAAAUCACUGGAUGAUUCCAGAAGGAAACCAUGGGCUAGAGAAGAUGCAGUGAGACAAUUCUACCAGAUCUCAGGGACCUGAUGGCAAGAGCCAUGCCCGACCUGCUCACCACAACCCUGGAACGUCUGAGCGUGUAACUAGCGAAAGGGAAGGUCAUGUCCUCCUGAGGCUGGAGAAACACCCGCCUCCCCUGUGGACACCCCAAAUCUCGGCAGACUCAAAAAGGCGGCCCAGACAGAGGUGGAGUUGGGAGGCACCAAUGACACACUCUCAGCCUUCAGAGAGGCCAAUCCCCGCGCCACGUCUCUGCUUCCCCCAGCAACACAAGGUCUCCCCCUCAGGGUAAGUUUAAUGAGCCAAUGCUGGGAAUGAAAAUAAGGGAGCCCAGUUUCCAAGA